rnacentral:rRNA from 1 species
AGCAGCCGCGGUAAUUCCAGCUCCAAUAGCGUAUAUUAAAGUUGCUGCAGUUAAAAAGUUCGUAGUUGAAUUUCGGGACCAUCAUGUCGGUCGUGCCUCGGUACGUACUGGUAUUGUUGGUUUCUCCCUUCUGACGAACCAUGAUGUCAUUUAUUUGGUGUUGUGGGGAAUCAGGACUGUUACUUUGAAAAAAUUAGAGUGUUUAAAGCAGGCUCACGCUUGAAUACAUUAGCAUGGAAUAAUGAAAUAGGACGUUUGAUUCUAUUUUGUUGGUUUCUAGGAUCGACGUAAUGAUUAAUAGGGAUAGUUGGGGGCAUUAAUAUUCAAUUGUCAGAGGUGAAAUUCUUGGAUUUAUUGAAGACUAACUACUGCGAAAGCAUUUACCAAGGAUGUUUUCAUUAAUCAAGAACGAAAGUUAGGGGAUCGAAGACGAUCAGAUACCGUCGUAGUCUUAACCAUAAACUAUGCCGACUAGGGAUCGGAUGAUGUUAAUUUUUAAUGACUCAUUCGGCGCCUUAAC